UCAAGCUUCAAUGAAAACUUGUCAUAAUGGCUGCUGGAGAGCUUCAUACAGAAGCUGGAUUGUUAGCAAUAUCAGGCCAAAUCAGCUUAGCAGUCUCAUCUCAGUACAGAAGGUUGUAAUUUAUUUCUCAAAAGAAAAAGUGCACAAUGCUAAUCCAGACCAAAACAGACUACAACGCCGAGAAAUGUCAAAUUAUCAAAGAUGCUACCAGAUCUGCUGACUUUUUCAAAAAUUUCUGUUUUUGUUACUGCGCUGAAUGCAUCAUAACUUAAAUACCAGGAAUAUUGGCCAACGUUUGCUGUUGACACUUCAACUAUCUCAACAUGACAAAGAAAACACGACGAGCACAAAACACAUUCUGAUGUCAAAGAUGAUAUUGACUGAAGAUGUUAACUGUUUCUGCUUCUUUCUCCACAGAUGCUGACAGUCCUGCAGAGUUUUUGUUUUUGUUUAAGAUCUCCAGAAUCCACCAUGUUUUGCGUCUCCAAAAUUUCAAUAUUUGCUGAAGAAAAUUAACCUUUCAAAAAAUUGAACAUGCAAAGGUUUCCUUGCAUUUACAUGGAAAUGCAUCUGAAAAAAAAAAUCUUUCCACCAGAAUGAGAACCGUGCAUUAGUGUUUUUCUAAAUAAGCAGUGGCUCCAAAAAAAGAUUGAAAUGACACAAAAAAAAAUCAUUGCUAAAACACAAAUUGUGAUUUUUUUUAAACCAUUGCAUUUGGAGCACCUCAUGUGACUUAACAUUACAACAUAUAGGACCGUUGAAUUCAGUAAGCCAAUAGCAGUUGGCAAGGCAAAUAUUGUCAAAAUGCCAGGAGUUAAAUAAGUUCACAGCGUCAUGCAAUGUCAGCUGCACUGGGCAUGUUCCAGCAGUUUCCUUCAUUUUCCAAUUGCACUGACUGUUGUUUCCUUUCAAGGGAUAUGGCAUUCAGAAGCACUUAGCAAAAACACAUGCCUUGGUUGAUCAACUAACUUAACAUCAUCACAUAAUUUCACUCCCAAAAAAUUCUUACUGGGGUGCAAAUUGAUUUGUCUACCUCAAAAGGUGAUACAUGAACAUGAAAGGAUUCAAAACUGUGGUCUGAAAUGCAUAAGCAAUACCCUAUUUCAACUUCAAAAAACUGAGCAUAAUGUUAAGUGGAAUGACAAGCCCCCACAGUGCUACUUAAAAAGCACCAGAAACUAUCUACUAUCUUAAUUGUGAGAUUACUUUUUCUGACUGCUGUGCAAAUGUUUUUAGAACUUGACUACAGUUCGAAGUAGUUUGAAUAAUCCACAAAACAAAAAAAAUGAUUUGAAUGCUGUUAUCAGAACUACUUUUUGUUCAGAUUAAAUUUGCCUUGAAACAA